rnacentral:tRNA from 1 species
AAUAAAGUGCCUGAUUAAAGGAUUAUUUUGAUAGAAUAAAACAAGUAUACUAUACCUUUAUUA